UCGGCUUGGCGGGGCCGGUGUAGGCACCAAAUGCCAGGGGGUCGGCGGGGGGGGUCCUUCCCAGCAGCGGCCCCGGUGACAGCGCGGGGAGCCCCGCAAGCUGCGGGUGGAGGAAAACCGGGACCGAGGUGCCGGCAAGAUUAAAACGGGGAGCAAAUGGGAUUUUACACGCUCCGUGAGCUCGUCUCGUGCUAGAACAGGAGUGCGGUGAAUAGCCAGGGGAGGAGAGGGGCUCCCGGCCGGUCUGACGUCAUUUGCCAAACAAUCGCGUGGCAGCUCUGAGUCGAUGGAGACUUCAUCGUUCUUUCCCUUUGAGUUAAAUACAUGAGCAGAAAUUAUGAGGAUGGGUGGACACCAGGAAAAAAAACGAGACAGUUAAGAGAAAUGAUGCUGCUCCUAGAAGAGGUUAAACAGGAGGAGUUUCUGCUUUGACACGUCUCAAUAGCAAGAUGACAAAAAGAGAACAUCCCCUUGAAGGAUUUUGUUUCCAGGAUCUACUCCCAAGGGAUUGUACAAGUGUCACAAUCAAACAGUUACAGAAGAGAACUGAGUUUAAAGGAAUAAAUCUGAGAUUCCCACA